rnacentral:lncRNA from 1 species
GUGUUACAAUCACGAACCAGGAUUUCAUGUUAAAGUCGCAUCAACUAGAGUUUCAUUAUCCGAUUCUCGCAACGACGAAUUACCACCCAACAAUGCUGUGUCCUGUCUGACCUCCUGACAUAACCCCUUGAUUAAGUCGUCAAUAGCUCGACUGAUCAGAAGAGUAGAACACUCCCCUUCCGGCAAGCUUCUUAAUACUUGACCUAUAUCAACAUUCAAGCCUCUCAAUUCUGCCGUUGGCCGUUGCCUAAAUAUCUUCCCCUGUUUCCUUUUAAGGCCAUUACAGGAAGACGUUCCAUCUCUC